rnacentral:rRNA from 1 species
GAUGAACGCUGGCGGCGUGCCUAAUACAUGCAAGUAGAACGCUGAAGGAGGAGCUUGCUCUUCUGGAUGAGUUGCGAACGGGUGAGUAACGCGUAGGUAACCUGCCUGGUAGCGGGGGAUAACUAUUGGAAACGAUAGCUAAUACCGCAUGACAACAGUUAUUGCAUGAUAACUGUUUAAAAGGGGCAACUGCUCCACUACCAGAUGGACCUGCGUUGUAUUAGCUAGUUGGUGAGGUAACGGCUCACCAAGGCGACGAUACAUAGCCGACCUGAGAGGGUGAUCGGCCACACUGGGACUGAGACACGGCCCAGACUCCUACGGGAGGCAGCAGUAGGGAAUCUUCGGCAAUGGACGGAAGUCUGACCGAGCAACGCCGCGUGAGGGAAGAAGGGUUUCGGAUCGUAAAGCUCGGUUGUAAGAGAAGAACGAGUGUGAGAGUGGAAAGUUCACACUGUGACGGUAUCUUACCAGAAAGGGACGGCUAACUACGUG